rnacentral:rRNA from 1 species
GUGUCAGCAGCCGCGGUAAGACAGAGGGUGCAAACGUUGUUCGGAUUUACUGGGCGUAAAGCGCGUGUAGGCGGCUUUGCAAGUCGGAUGUGAAAUCCCACGGCUCAACCGUGGAAGUGCAUCCGAAACUGCAUCGCUGGAGUCUCGGAGAGGAAGGUGGAAUGCUUGGUGUAGAGGUGAAAUUCGUAGAUAUCAAGCAGAACACCUGCGGCGAAGGCGGCCUUCUGGACGAUGACUGACGCUGAGACGCGAAAGCGUGGGGAGCAAACAGGAUUAGAUACCCUGGUAGUCCACGCCGUAAACGAUGAGUGCUAGGUGUCACGGGCUUUGACCCUCGUGGUGCCGUAGCUAACGCAAUAAGCACUCCGCCUGGGGAGUACGGCCGCAAGGCUAAA